GCUCUCGCGGAAUUUGUUCCAGCCACGAGCCCUUAAAGGAGAAGAUUAAUGCUGCAUCCCUUCCUGCCCCCUUCCCCACCCCACAGCCGGUCGCACACAGCAUCACAGUGGAACUACUCGGAAGACAGCUGAAAACAACCAGCAGCUGGAGGAUUCCUGUAAAACGCAGCCGAGCCUCACCAUGUCCCCUUCCCAAGGUGCCUGGAAUGGAAGUGAAUCCGGUUUCCCCAUUGACAUUGCUUACCAGA